UACGGGGGGUGCGAGCGUUGUCCGGAAUCACUGGGCGUAAAGGGCGCGUAGGUGGUUUGAUAAGGGUGUGGUGAAAGCCCGGGGCUCAACCCCGGGUCUGCCGUGCCGACUGUCAAACUCGAGGGCUGUAGAGGCAGACGGAAUUCCGGGUGUAGCGGUGGAAUGCGUAGAGAUCCGGAGGAAGACCGGUGGCGAAGGCGGGUCUCUGGGCCGUAACUGACGCUGAGGAGCGAAAGCGUGGGGAGCGAACAGG
rnacentral:rRNA from 1 species